CCUAGGGGGGGCAGCAGUGGGGAAUAUUGGACAAUGGGCGAAAGCCUGAUCCAGCCAUGCCGCGUGUGUGAAGAAGGCCUUCGGGUUGUAAAGCACUUUCAGUGGGGAAGAAAGCCUUGGGGCUAAUACCCUCGAGGAAGGACAUCACCCACAGAAGAAGCACCGGCUAACUCCGUGCCAGCAGCCGCGGUAAUACGGAGGGUGUGAGCGUUAAUCGGAAUUACUGGGCGUAAAGCGCGCGUAGGCGGUCUGAUAAGCCGGUUGUGAAAGCCCCGGGCUCAACCUGGGAACGGCAUCCGGAACUGUCAGGCUAGAGUGCAGGAGAGGAAGGUAGAAUUCCCGGUGUAGCGGUGAAAUGCGUAGAGAUCGGGAGGAAUACCAGUGGCGAAGGCGGCCUUCUGGACUGACACUGACGCUGAGGUGCGAAAGCGUGGGUAGCAAACAGGAUUAGAUACCCUAGUAGUC
rnacentral:rRNA from 1 species